GUCAGUAUGGCCGAGUGGUUAAGGCGUCAGACUCGAAACAGCAAUGUGAGUGAUCUGAUGGGAUAUUCCCGCACAGGUUCAAAUCCUGUUGCUGACG